rnacentral:tRNA from 1 species
GGCGCGGUAGCCAAGUGGCAAGGCAGCGGUCUGCAAAACCGCUAUUCAGCGGUUCGAAUCCGCUCCGCGCCUCCA